rnacentral:tRNA from 1 species
GCUGGUGUAGCUCAGUUGAUUAAAGCAUAUGGUUGUUAAAAAUAAAGUCGAAGGUUCAACCCCUUCCUCUAGCA